AGAUGGCUGCUGUAAAUCUGGGACUGUUCCUGGAAAAUAGGGACCCUUGGAGGGUUUCUGCGAAGCGUUGGAAAGGGACCACAAGGGGGUAAUUAGUCAAUCCCCCUUCAAUGCAGGAAUCUCUACUAGAUCAUACAUGGCAGAUGGCCAUCCAACCUCUCCUUAAAAACCUCCAAGUCCACCACCUCCCGAGGGAGACUGUUCCACUGUCAAACAGCUCUUUACCAUCAGAAAUAUCUUCCUAAUGUUUAGUUGGAGUCUCUACACUGACUGACAGCAGCUCUUCAGCCCUCCUUGAAGAUGGGCAGGGUUGAACCUGGAACCUUUCAUAUGUGUGCAGCAUGUACAGAACCUGUACAUGGCUCUUCCUGGUGUGUUUAGGAAUUCCAGAGGAGUCACUGUGCUGAUCUAUUGGGGCAGAAGAGUGAAGGAGGCUGUUAACAAUAAUAAAUUUAUUGUGGCAUAAGCUUUCCUGGACUAGAAUCUGCAUCAUCAGAACCCUCUGCACGUCUACUUGAAAGUAAGUCCACACUGAACACAUCAGGAUUUAUAUCUGAGUAUACAUGCAAAUGGUUGGCUGCACAGCAUUUAUACAUACCAGUCCAAUGCAUGCCUACAAACUUCAUUGGUUCUUUCUCCCAGGUAAGUGCAUCUAUAAAGUUAACAAGGCAGAAAAUCAUGUAUGUUUUCUCAGAAGUAUGUCACAGUUAACUAGGACAUACUCCCUCGUAAAUUUGCUUAAGAUUGAAGUCUUGAUUGAUUCAUUGCCUUGCUUCUAAAUGAUGAAAUUGGAGAAGGUAGACAGUUGUUCUUAAACAACAACUUGCAGUUGCAGAGUCAAAGGAUACCACAUUAUUAAGAAAGCAAAAGUUACAUUUAAUUGGAAUGGGAAACAGCUGGUGCAGUAUUGUAAACAAUCAAAUCAUUAUUUUCUCAACCUCACCCCUUCCCCCAGUCUGCAAUAUGAGGAUAUUAAUAGUGACCUUGUAGAACUGCUGGAAGGAUUACUGAAAUAAAGUACUGUACAUGAAGAACUUUGAACACAGGCUGACCCAUCUUCAGAACACUCAGAAAAUCCCCACUGGAGGAAGCCACUUUGAUCUGUGACAAAGCUUAGGUGAUUAACUACUGAUCAAUUAAUUAGGUAUUUAAACACUAAAUAAUUGACUACCAGUACAGUCCUAAGUAUGAUUAUUCAGCAGUAAAUUCUAUUGAAUCCUUUGGGUUUUAGGAAUAAAUAUGUAUAACUGCAAUCUUAGACUUCUUAAGUUUGCCUAUGCAUAUUUAUUUCUGAGUAAACAUAGAACUUAACUUUUGAGUUAUCAUACUAAAGACUGAGAAAUCUCAUCCUAGGUUUGUGAGCUGCUAUAUAAAGUUUUUCCACAUUCUUAAAGAGUAAAGGCACUUCUCGGAUGCUGUAAGAACUUAAUGUAGUUUUUCAUAUGUUUUUGACUAAGCACUGAAAACAGAUUAUGGGAACCAUCAAAAAUACUUUGGGAGGACGUGCUUCAUACUUGCAAGCCUGGAAUGCUUCCAGAUGAGGCUUCUAAUGUACAAUUGCUAUGCCUCCUUAAUGCAAUUUUAUUAGAUUUCCAUUGUAACUGUUUCCAUUGUAACUGUUUCCAUUGUUUCCAUUUCAUUUCCAUUGUAACUGUUAUCGUCCUAUGUUUUCAUUAUAACUGAGACUCUUGAUUUCAGGGUUUGAGGUUCAAGCCCCACAUUGGGCAAAAUAAUUCCUGCAUUGCAGGAGGUUGGAUUAGAGAUGAUCCUCAUGGUCCCUUCCAACUCUACAGUUCUAUGAGUCUAUGCUUCCUCUAUAUUUUUUCUUACCAUUCAAAAUCUGUUAAGGAGGUAAAUAUUGCCAGCUCUUUACAGAUAAUGGUAGGGCAAUGGAAGGGGUUGUCCUUGGAUAAGGUAAUUACACGUUAGGUAUGUUCCUUCUUUCUCUACUGCUUGCUAUGCUUUUCUGGUUUUGGAGCCAUUUCAUGUCAUGCACCACAAAUCCUUUCUCUUGAUCAACCAAUUAAUUGUUUCCUGGAAUGAGAUUUCCUCAACCCACACAUUUCAAUUUAAGCUAUUUAAUUAGUUGAUCACACUGUAAACAGCAGUGCUUGCUUCCAAGUACAGACAUGUAAAUUUUGUCUGUGAUCCUGUAAAGUUACAAUCCUCUAGCCAUGUACCGGUACUUGCUUUCUUAGAAAAUCUGUGUAGGUUCCACCUAUAAUCCUGGAAGGCAGGCAUCUGUCAGCCCUGUGCUAUAGACACUAUGUAAAAAAAAAAAAGUGGUACUCAACACUAGUCCUAGUCGGAUAAACCCAUCAAACUUAACUGACAUGAGUAACUUAUGUUUAUUCAUUUCAGUAGGUCUACUCUGAGUAAGAUUUGGUUGAAUACAACCCAGAAUUGUGUUGUAGUAGAUAGUACAGCUAACAAGCAGAGGAAAUUGUGUUGUUCUAGAUCCAGUUGUGGAAUUGGCUACAUUAGAAAUCUGGCACCCUCAGGUGAAAUCUACAGGAAUUAGAGCCCGGUUGUGUAACUGUGCUUACUUGGAAGUAAGAUGAGCUGCAAUCAUCUUGACCUGUAGUGUAGGCACUCUAUAGACACAAAUCCAGGUGCAUGCACAAAAAAAAGUUGCUAAAAUGGUUCUGAGAAGCACAUGCUUCAAAAUGUCAGAAGUAUGGUUGAGGGGUGGGGAAGAGGACAACGCUGCUCACACAGCUAUGCCACGCCCACCAUAGCUAUGUAAUAUAGUGGGAUGCACACAUCGAACACUGCAAGAUGAGUCCAGAAGCCUGGAUAAUGGCUGCUUGCCAUUCUGCUUUUAGCUUACAGCAGAAGAACAAUGGUAGCACUAUGAACUCUCUAUCUGGAAGCAUCCUGGCAGAUUUCCAACUGUUUCCAAAAUCCUGUCCUUAGGAAUGAUUCAGCAGAAGGGGCUAUAUCUACUUCUUAAUGUUUCUUUCCCCCUUUCUGCUAUCACAUCAUAGGUUGAAAAAAUAAAUUGCAGCCAUUAUUUUCUGCUAUUGCCCCGUAUCCAUGCAUGUUAUGUCUUUGUUCUCCCGUUGGUGACUCUUGUUUCUUUUACCCCCUCAAAAUAUUUGCAGAAUAGGUGGAGUAGGAGUAAAGCAAGUGUUCACAUAAGGAGGCUAUUCAUAAAGUACAGCAACCCUACCUUGGCCUCAUUUCUAUAAAUGUUAUGAGCUCACAGGAUGAGAGCCCUAAUCAUAACAGAAUGGGUAGACUCAAAAGAGCUACUUUAGGUUCAUUGAAAGAGCUGGGGUAUGCUAGUGAGAUUUCGGAAAACCUUUCGCCCCUUAGAACAGCAGAGCCCCAUGCCAAAUCACAAGCUGCUUUUGAAACAUUUUUCAUUUAUAAAUGCAGCUUAUUUCUAUGGAACAUGGAGGGCUGCUGUUCAAUAAAUGCAGGGCUAAUGCUGUCUUAUGUAUUUUUAAAAUUGCACAUAAAAGUAUAAAAAAAUCUAAUGUUCUAAUUUGAGUUGCUGCUUAGCCCAAAACCCUCCAACUGAACAAUUAAAUUGGUACUUAAUAUUAAAAAUUGUUCAGCUCAUUCUGGGAUUUUACAAUGUGUCUUGUUUUUAUGUGUGCACAAGUCUUAAAGUCUGCAUCUGCUUGGGGGAAAGCCAAGAUUCUCAUGGUUUCACCAGCUGGGUCCUUCCAUCAAAACACUCCAGAUAAAAUUGGUUCAGCUGGCAAGCUUGUAGAAGUUACUGUUCUUCUAUAAUGGAAAAGUUUCAAGUGACUGAUAGUCCUAGUGCUAAGAUUACACUGACCUCAAAGACUGCAAUUUUCCAUUGGGAAAUUCCGAAAGCUGGAUUGGCUUAAAUGUUUAGUCUUGCUUAUAAAUUAACACUUGUUUAAAAGAAAGAGAGGGAGAGGAAGAGAAGAAGAAGAAAAAGAAGAAGAAAAACUAGCCCCAACCCUUUGUACAACACAAUAGCAAGGGAUCCUGGGGUCAGUGCUGAGUCUGGUUUGGAACAUGUGAAAAGUGCUUGUACAUGACUCUGCCAUUAAGCAACUUCAACAAGUUCAUAAACUAAAACAUGGUGAGUUAGGAGUUCCAAGUGUUGGCAGAAUAAAAAUUCAUAUUCUGGGCUUUUCUAGUGUGGAAAUAUAGCAAAUAAAAUUUUCACAGCCUUUGUCCCAGUGACACAUGAUUCAGAAUCAGAAUAGCAUGUAUUGUGUUAGUCCAUAUACUAUAGCAGAAUAAAACAACUUAGAAGACAAGUGAUUUAUUUAUGUAGCAAUAUAGGCAUAUUCAUGUGUGCACAUUGGUGUCUGUAAUGCUACACACCAUAAAACGUGAAGAGAACAUACUCAUGUCCAAGCAAAUGGGAAUCUCUUAGCUGCUUUGAAUCUUUCGCCAUUCAGUUUCAUCGGAUGUCUAUUGAGCUCUAGAGUUAAAAGAGAGAAAGAAAACUUUUUAUUUAUCUACUUUUUGCACACCAUGAAUAUUAUUAUUAUUAUUAUUAUUAUUAUUAAUUUCAUAAAAUAUAUACACUGAUUGUACGAAAAAUUGUAAUUGUAUGUGCCUCCAUUGUGUUUCCUUCUUUCCUGCCUUUUUUUCUAAACAAAAAGCCCCAAAUGUUGUAACUUUUCCUUAUAGGAAAGUGGCUCCAUCCCCUUGAUUAGCCUUUUCCCAACCCUUUCUAGCUAUACAAUAUUAUUUUUGAAGUGAAGUGACUAGAACAUUUAGUUUAAAGAAAAUAUUUGACAUCCUCAGAUGUUUUUCUUCUUCUUAGAAGGGCUUGAUUUUUAUCUAUCCAGAGAUGCGCAUGCAGACUGGCCCAACUGGUUAUGACCAGUCAUUUCACUUACAAGCUGGGCCUGAAGGGUUGUAGCUUUUUGUCCAGUUGAUAGCUGGAGAAGCAGGAAGGUGUGGGGAAAUUACUAGGGGUCUAUGAGGAAACGUUGACUGACAUGUAGCAUCUGCAGCUUUUUAGCUUUGGAAGAAGAAAAGGCAAACAAGGGGGAAGGGAUGUGAUAUAGAACAGGCUUCCUCAGCCUCAGCCCUCCAGAUGUUUUUGGCCUACAAAUCCCAUGAUCCCUAGCCAGCAGGACCAGUGGUCAGGAUGAUGGGAAUUGUAGUCUCAAAACAUCUGGAGGGCCGAGGUUGAGGAAGCCUGAUAUAGAAUUAUAUGUAUGGUGUGUAGAAAAUGGAUAGGCCUCCCACAUAAUACUACUACCUGAGGUCACUCAAUGAAGCUAAAUGGUGGGAGGUUCAAGGCAAACAUCUUCAUACAGCACAUUGUUAAAACUUGGAAUUUGCUACUGCAAGAUGUGGUGGUGGCUACCGUUAAAAGCAGUUUUAAAAUGGGAUUAGACAGAUUCACACAGAAUGUGGUGAUCAAUCGCUACCAGUGGACUUAUACUACCUCCAGCAUCAGAGGGUCAUAUGCCCUUGAAUACCAACUUCUGGGCGCGGCAGGGAGGAUGAGUGGAAGAGUACUGUUGUGCUCACAUUUGACUUGUGGGCUUCCUAGAAGCAACUGGUUGGCCACUGGGAACAGAGUACUGGACUGGAUGAGCCUUUGACCUGAUCCAGCACAGCUCUUAAGGCUCAUGCCAGAAUUCUGUUGGGCUAAUAAUAAAAUAGUGUUGACAAGUGGGGUAUGUAAGUAAUUUUAGACCCUAGACUUAAUGGUCAUGUGGCAGGGGUGGGUGGGUUAGCCAGUCAUGUUUAUGAACUCAGCCUCAAGGUCCAGCCUUAGCUGAAUCACUGCUGCUGAGCAGAUACAACUUGGUAUUGGCAGGCAGUGGGUGGACCCAUUGCUGGCUGUAUGUAGGCAUAGUAUUAAGCAUACUUUUCACAGGUGGCAAUGUGGGACAGGGUUUAUUACGAGUAGGUGUUCAAAUGUUAAUCUGUAGUAUUAUUAAUCCCCUUUCAAUUCAGGAGAAAUCUGAAUGUUGGUCUGCUUACAGUCUUUGACCUCAAGAAUUCUGAAGGGUGCUGGAAACCUAAACUCAGUCAUGGAGUCAAGGACACUGACCAGGUUCUUAUUCUUCAGUGUUAAAUGCAUAUACAGUGGUACCUAGGGUUAAGUACUUAAUUCGUUCCGGAGGUCUGUUCUUAACCUGAAACUGUUCUUAACCUGAAGCACCACUUUAGCUAAUGGGGCCUCCUGCUGCCACCGCACCACCGGAGCACAAUUUCUGUUCUCAUCCUGAAGCAAAGUUCUUAACCUGAAGCAUUAUUUCUGGGUUAGCAGAGUCUGUAACCUGAAGCAUAUGUAACCAUAGCAUUUCUUUUUGUAAUUCAGUAUUGUAGUUUGCCCUUUCAUUACAGAAUGGAACUAUUCACUAGACGUGACUUUAAAAGUUUUAAUGCUUGUAUUAUGUUUGUUUAUUGUAGAAUAGUUAUCCAAUUUAUUCUGCCUCUGCACUCUCCUUUUGCCAAUUGACUUCACUUCUGGCUCUCUUUCUGAAUAUAACUGUGAGCCCUGAAUUCUAAUUUAGUAAGUUUUAUUGCAGUACUGCUUAGGGGGGAGCUAGGAAAAGGAUCUUAUUGUGUUGUUAGAAUAAUUAAUAUGUCUACUGCUUCACAGUGUUUCCCAAACAUCCCUUUUCAUUUUCCCCGCCUUUCUGGACCUCUUGAACUGAUUUCUUCUUGCUACUUGCUGUUAGUGUUUCCUUGAGGCCCAGCAAAGGAUAUAGCUGGGUUAAAAAGGUCUCAUUGUCGUGCGAAAAUAAAUAUUUGGAAUACUGAAGCACAGUGGUUUCUUGUCUUUUUGUUAACGAUUCAGGGCAUUGUAACGUAUUUUGUCUGCUGAAAAGUGCAUUGCAAUGAUUAAUCUGAUGUGAUAAUUAAGUUGAUUCCUUUGUAGCUUAUGAAACCAGGGAGCUCUGAAUGACUCAGUCCUCUGCCACAUCUGGAAAAAGCAUUAUAUAUUGCAAAUGGUGCUUGGAACGAAAAGCUGCUGUGUAUCUGCCCUUUUUAACAGGGACACACUCUUUUUCAGAGUUCUAGUCAGGCCCUCCUCCAGUAUUUUGUCCCUCUCCCUAAUUUUCCAACCCGCGUGGAAAAUUAUGCUUCCCCAAAUGAAACUCAGCUUUCUGGGGUCGUUGAAAUACCAGAGGGUGUUCGUUUGGUCCUCAAGUUUAUCCAUUGUUGCUGUUAUUUUGUAUUCCUGCAAUCCUUGGGGUUCCUUGAGCUUGCUGAUAACUUAAUUUUGGUUUGUCAUUGACUCUUCUUUUGGCUACAUAGCUGUCCGCACUCAACAUCUGAGUUCACUAUUAGAGGGGGUGAUUCUGUUAAUAAUCCUUCUCUUAUAUCACUUCAGCUGUUGUCUUGUGGGUCAGCUAGUCAGUCCUUUGUGAUUCAUCUUACCCUUGCAUACUGCUGUGUGCCAUGAAUGAGAUAGCUUAUAAACAGAGUGCCUGCAUUGGACCAAUUUUUCUACUUGCUUUUGAAUGUUAAGCCAUCCUCAUGUGUUAGUCAGGCAAAGGUCAUGAGUUUUCCUCAGCAAGUAAAAUUAAAUUUAUAAUUGGAAAAUACUAUUAAAGGUGAGACAGAUUCCCCCCCUCCCAAAUAAGUCAUGUUGCUCACAUAGACUGGCAGAUACACAUCACUUCUCCUUUGCCUGGGAUUUUGACUAAUGUUUUGAAUAACCAAUAAGUGGGUGUGAUACUUCUGGACAGAUGGUCAGAGGGUACAGGAAGCCAAGAUACCAUCUAUGGACAUGAUGCGCAUCUUAGAGCAUAUAUCUAGAUAUGGACAUUAAAUGUCUAGAAAGGAGCCAAGCGGUUCCUUGGUACCUGGCUGGCUUUAUCAAGUUCAUGUACAUAAAGCUGUGUACACACCAUACAUUUAAAACACAUUUGAAGCACACUAUUUCCUUCACAUUAUUUUGGGCACUCUAGUUUCCUCAGAGAUGGCACAAGACAUUUAGGCACCUGAGGCGAACCACAGAAAGGGGUGAAUUAAGAUCUACAUCAGAAACAAGGGAGGGAAUUAAGAAUGAUGUCAGGAUCUGCUGCCCCUGUUGAUUCUGCUACCUGAGGCAUUCGCCUCAUCUUGCCUCAUGGGUGGGCUAGCCCUUAGUUUACUCAUUUACAAUUCUCGACAAGCCUUAACAAACUACAGUGCCCAGAAUACUUUGAGGGAAAUAAUGUGCUUUAAAGGUACAGCAUGUACACAGCCUAAGACAAGGAACUGGAACUAUUCACCCAUUGUUCACCUGAACAAAUUUUUUUCCAUGAAAAAGGAGCCUUGAAGUUGCCGAUCAGUAGUUAGCACCUUGAUGGCAUACUGAGCAGCAGGGCCAGAUUUAGAUUUGAUGAGGCCCUAAGCUACUGAAGGUAAUGGGGCCCUUUAUAUGUCCAACUGUCCUUUGUCAACAACAAAUUGUCGCUGGUUUUUGUGUUGAAUAUAUGCUAUAUGGUAAUUUAUGGACCUAAUAGGUAUCUAAAGCCAUUUGCACAUAACAAAAUAUGUAUUUUAUCGAAGUAAUUGUUGAACUGAAAUACAAUUAAGAAGUAUAUUAAUAGUGGGGGAAAAUGGGGGGGGCAAGAGAGUGGUGCUCUAAGCUAUAACUUGUUUAGCUUAUACGUAAAUCUGGCACUGCUGAGCAGGCACAUAGCUAUCCAACCCUCUGUGAUAAACGUCAUAGCCAAAGGCUGGCUGAUCACAGAAAGGAUCUCAUUAAAAUAUUCCCAGAACUGGUAAGGAAACCCAGGGAGAAGAUAAUAGGUAUAUUAACUUAAGAAUUUUAUUUUUAACAGAAAGGGGAGCUAAAUAUUGAGAGUAAAUCAGUAAUACUGUACUUCAGAAGUGUUACAGUAACCUAAGGACCAACUAACACUUCAGUGUGGCAGGCACGCUUUGGGGGUUUACACCAAUGUUCUUUGUGGGAACACACAAACUGUGAAGGGAAACAUGUCUUCUUUUUUAAGAAGCAUGUGGUGGACACCAAGUAUACUGAGAAACCAUGACUGACUGUGGUGCAUGUCAUACUUUAUGUGUUCCCCACAGGUAAACGUGUGUACUGCUGUACUGAAUUGGCUCCAAGAGGAAGGAUAAUUCCACCUUCCACACCAUGAUCAAAAGGCUCCUAUUGGAAAUAGUUCCACAGCACUAGACACUGGAUUAACCAUUUUUUCUAAAUACACUACAUAUGCAAGCAACUGUGGCAAAUUUUAGAAGCGUUUUGACAAGUAUAGGGAAAUAAUAGAAAAGCAUGUCAUAUGAGUGAGAGGGGACUGAAGUUCCAGACUAUGGUUCAGCAUGGGCAGGCUUGUACAGUUUGUGACCCUCCAACUCAAACAAGCCAAUGCAGCAAGCCAAUAUCUUGACGUACUUCUCCCUGCUUUUUUCCAAGCCAGACAGGCGGCUAUAAUAGAGGCUUAUUGUGUUCCUAUCAAGCAUGUUUAGCUGAUGGCUGCAUUUAGCCUGGUGAACAACAAGUUGCAGGCAUGGCUGUUGUGCGUCCUCUGCUUUGAUAGCUGUAAAUAUAAUCUGUGGCUCAAGUCAGGUGCAACAUCUUCUCUUUCUCCUCUGGCUCUUCCUUGUUCUAGUUGCCCAGCUCAAAUUGGUAUGGGUAUUCUUCCUCUUCAUUCAGGUACCCAUUGUUGUCAACCUUACUUUUUGUCUGCUCUCAUUUUUAAAUUAACUGUUAGACAUAUGACUCAGAUUCAGUGUAGCCAUUAUGCCCCCCCUUUUUUUUUUGUAUACUACUGUCAUCAUUUUCAGUUGACAGUUUAAGCCAUGGAGCUUUUCUGAGAUACUUUGUACGGUCCUGUGUUACAUUGCUUAUAUAAAAAACUAUUCAAAAUAAAAGCAAGCUAAAACUAUAACAGAUUGCAGAGCUAAAAGUUAAACAACCUUACUCAUUGCCAUAUUCAUUCUGAAAUGUUGUUUAUAUAAUGCUUUUUAUUUAUUUUUUACUUUGCCCUGCUCUUCAGCUCAAAAGCCUUCCAGAACAGUUAAAACACAAUCGAUGAAAAUUAGACAGUUGCUGCCUUGAGCAGGCUUACAAUUUUAAAUGCUGUAACGGAAAAAGGAGAAAUUGUGAAAGGAGGGAAACAAAGGAAUGCAUACAACAAUUCUUAAUAGUUUGCCGGAUUUUUAGGUUCUUAUAAUGACCAGGAAUGGAAACAGUUCAGGGAGAGGAGGAGCUUGAUGGAGCUAUAUUUUCCCUCCCCAUCUCUCCCUCAGCUGAUGAAAUGGCUGUUGCCCAGUGACCACUGAGAGAGGGACUCAAUGGAAAAGCACAACCCUGCUUCAGACCUCUGUCUUUGUCUCUCUGUGCUAUAAAUUGAUGGAAUGGCUGCUACUAGGUGAUAGUUGAAGAAGGGAAGACCAGAUGGAGCUGGUCUCACAGUCAACCUGAUGGAAAUACCAUGCUUCCCAACUCUCCUUCUGCUGUACUGAAGACUGGGCUGAGAGGCUUUGGCUUAGGUUCUCCUGCGCUGACAGAGUGCUAGAUAUGCCACCUCCAUGGGGGAUAUCUGGACACACUAUAUACACAGGUGAAACAUACAAUUGGUGGAAGGUUGUGCGUAAAGCCCACCAUAACAAAGCCUUGUGACUUGCAUGGGGGGAAAGAUAAAGAAUGUGUUUAUUGAAUAAAAAUCAAAUAUCUUGCAUAUACAGUGGUACCUCGGGUUAAGUACUUAAUUUGUUCUGGAGGUCCGUUCUUAACCUGAAACUGUUCUUAACCUGAAGACCACUUUAGCUAAUGGGGGCCUCCUGCUGCCGCUGCGCCACCGGAGCACGAUUUCUGUUCUUAUCCUGAAGCAAAGUUCUUAACCUGAAGCACUAUUUCUGGGUUAGCGGAGUAUGUAACCUGAAGCGUAUGUAACCUGAAGCGUAUGUAACCGGAGGUACCAUUGUACUUUCUCUCUCUCUCUCUGCAGGGGUAGCUACCAAUGUUCUCUAACUACUAGAUGGCCGGUCUAGAAAGAGGACGACUGAGAAGUAAGGAGUGAGGCUGUGGCAUCAGAUGCAUCAUGCUGCUCCAGGUGACCUUCUGUUCUGUUAUGGCCUGGCAUGCUCUGGGGCUGUUUGGAGUGAUAACAUGAUCAGGAGGUGUCUGCCAUGGCAUGCUUGAUGAGGUGCAUGGUAGCCAUCAGCACAUUAGGAAUGUGCUCACAACGGCCUAGGCACUGACAUGCAGUAGACAUCUCUGGCUUGAAAUUUUCACAGCAGCUAACCCUCAUAAUCAUGAUGACAUUGCCUUUAGCGUAACCAGUUGCAACAUACCUGGUGUCAGGGAGGUUGCUCCUCCAUUCUCCUGAUGCCCAUGUCCCCAGGCAUAUGUGCUUGGCCAGCAUGCCAUGGACUCACUAACCCACCCACUCACCUUAGCCCAUGGCCAACUCCCUCUGUUCCCUUCCCAGCUGCUGCAUAUGCACCCUUAGUGCCUUGAUAAGUUCCUGGAUGAUGAUGCCAAUCAGAUUUGUGGUUCUGGCUUCUUCGUAUUAGAACGUUGGGAGCAUCCUGCCCCAGACUUUUUCAGUCAGUAUCUGAGUAUGGGCUAUGUAUAACAUAUCCCCCCCCCCCGGAUAUUAUUUGAAGCAAUGUCCCUGGGAGCAUUCAUUGAUGUGUCCCUACCAGCUUAAGGCUGCCACCCUAAACAAAAUUAUUAGAGAGUAAGUCACACUGAGAAUUACUUUUGUGUAAGCAUGAUUAGGAUUGCACUGGACACCAUAUACAUAAUUCUUAUGAAUGCUUAUUCACAUGUGAGAACAGUUUUUGUCUAUUAUGAUUUUCCUUCUACACUGCAGAUAGCUCAGUUGGUAGAACACGAGACUCUUAAUCUCAGGGUUGGGGGUUUGAGCCCAACAUUGGGCAAAAGAUUCCUGCAUUGCAGGGUGUUGAACUAGAUGACCCUCGUGGUCCCUUCCAGCGCCACAAUUCUAUGUGAGAACAGUUUUUGCCUGUUUUAAUUUUUCUGUGUAAUUUCAUUUCAGGGCUUAAUAUCAAGCUGAAAUCUUGCUCCCUAUCUAGUUUUGGCUUAUUCCCCCUGCCCCCUCAGUUUUGUUCCAGCCUCUCUGUUCCGAGUAAAUAAUGUAGGCCCACAGUUUUGUUGACAAGCACAUCCUGGAGUAUUUUGGGAGUAUGACAGACUGCCUGAGGGAGGGGGAUUGGGUUAAUUUCCGUUGAGUACAUCCUGUGCGAAUGGAAUGGCUUCAAUUAAGAGUGUACAUUACAGAAAAUACUCUUCAGUUUACAACUGCUGAGAAUUCUAAGUAUGCUAAUUGUGUGUGUGUGUGUGUGUAUGCGUUUUAAAUCAAGAGAAUAUGGUCUUCAGUCCAUUUUGUCCAGAUGUUUUAAAUCCUUUACAGAUGCUGGCAGUGUUACUGGGCUUCUGUAUCCCUAUAAUUUAAUGGAUCCUGAGGACAGUAUGGAGAGUAAUAGUACUAAGGUUAGAAUACAAAAUCACAUGCAAGAGCACACUUCUAUAGAACAGCCGUAAAAAGCGCUGAAGGCCACAGAACUGUAAUAGCAAUGGUGAAAGGAGGGAAACAAAGUAACACCCAUUCUUAAAAGUUUGCCAG